rnacentral:rRNA from 1 species
UACGUAGGGUGCGAGCGUUAAUCGGAAUUACUGGGCGUAAAGCGUGCGCAGGCGGUUUUGUAAGUCAGAUGUGAAAUCCCCGGGCUUAACCUGGGAACUGCGUUUGAAACUACAAGGCUAGAGUGUAGCAGAGGGGGGGUGGAAAUUCCACGUGUAGCAGUGAAAUGCGUAGAGAUGUGGAGGAACACCGAUGGCGAAGGCAGCCCCCCUGGGUUAACACUGACGCUCGAGGCACGAAAGCGUGGGGAGCAAACAGG